rnacentral:rRNA from 1 species
CCUACGGGUGGCAGCAGUGAGGAAUAUUGGUCAAUGGCCGGGAGGCUGAACCAGCCAAGUCGCGUGAGGGACGACGGUGCCAUGGAUUGUAAACUUCUUUUGUCGGGGGGCAAAAGACGCCACGUGUGGCUUUCCGAGAGUACCCGAAGAAAAAGCAUCGGCUCACUCCGUGCCAGCAGCCGCGGUAAUACGGAGGAUGCGAGCGUUAUCCGGAUUUAUUGGGUUUAAAGGGUGCGCAGGCGGACGAUUAAGUCAGCGGUAAAAUUGAGAGGCUCAACCUCUUCGAGCCCUUGAAACUGGUUUUCUGGAGUGAGCGAGAAGUAUGCGGAAGGCGUAGUGUAGCGGUGAAAUGCUUAGAUAUGACGCAGAACUCCGAUUGCGAAGGCAGCAUACCGGCGCUCAACUGACGCUGAUGCACGAAAGUGUGGGUAUCGAACAGGAUUAGAUACCCUUGUAGUC